GAUUUUAACCCUAUAAAUUGAUCAUGUAAUUUACUAUUUCUACAUGCAAGCGUAGAAAAACAUGGCUCAAAUUCUAAAUUUUGUUUUUUUUCUAAUUAUUUUUCUUUUCAUAUUUAUCAUUGUAGACGGAGUUUAUUUUUGCGAAAAAGAUAAAGAUUGUCCCAUACCUAUGUGUUUCCCAAGUGAAAAUCCAAAGUGCGUAAACAUGAUGUGUCGUUGUGUGUAGUAGUUGAAAUAAUGUUCGAAGAGGAGUGCUAGCAACACUCUCUUUUCAACACUCUCUCCAACACUCACUUUCUUAUUAGUUAAAACAUGUGUGGGUCACUCACUUAGGAAGUGGAUUCCACAUAAAGUUGUAGGACCCACACAUGUUUCAACCAAUAAGAAAGUGAAUACUAGAGAGAGUGUUGAAAAGAGAUUAUUGCUAGCUUUCUCAUGUUCGAAAAUGGCUCAAUGGUUUUUCUAAGAGUAUUUAUUUUUAUUUAAAAUAUAAUGUUGUACUGUUUUGAUUUCUCACAAGUUCAAUCUUUGUUCAUCAACUUUAAAUUUAUAUGAUUGAGUCAAAAUCAUAUUAUUGUAUUAUCCAAGUGUUGUUACAUAUUUUCAUCCUUAGAAUAUAUUGAUAAUAAUAUAAUAUCAUUAUACAAUUAAAA